GGCGUGCGGCAGCUACCAUGCAGUCGAGCGGUAGCACAGGAGAGCUUGCUCUCCGGGUGACGAGCGGCGGACGGGUGAGUAAUGUCUGGGAAACUGCCUGAUGGAGGGGGAUAACUACUGGAAACGGUAGCUAAUACCGCAUAACGUCUUCGGACCAAAGUGGGGGAGCUUCUGGCCUCACGCCAUCAUAUGUGCCCAGAUGGGAUUAGCUAGUAGGUGGGGUAAUGGCUCACCUAGGCUACGAUCCCUAGCUGGUCUGAGAGGAUGACCAGCCACACUGGAACUGAGACCCGGUCCAGACUCCUACGGGAGGCAGCAGUGGGGAAUAUUGCGCAAUGGGCGCAAGCCUGAUGCAGCCAUGCCGCGUGUGUGAAGAAUGCCUUCGGGUUGUAAAUCACUUUCAGCGAGGAGGAAGGGUUAGUGUUAUAGCACAUUGCAUUGACGUUCUCGCAGAAUAAGCACCGGCUAACUCCGUGCCAGCGCCGCGGUAAUACGGAGGGUGAAGCGUUAUCGGAAUUACUGGGCGUCAAGCGCACCAGGCGGUUUGUUAUCAGAUGUGAAUCCCCGCGCUGGCGUGGGAACUGAUUUGAACUGGCAACUAGAGUCUUGGUAGGGGGUAGAAUUCGGGUGUAUCGUGAAUGCGUAAGAUCUGGAGGAAUCCGGUGGCGAAGCGGCCCCUGGACAAGACUGAGCUCAGUGC
rnacentral:rRNA from 1 species